CCAACCUUAAUAAUCUUGACUCUGUAAAUCGCUUAGAGGGGGCUGUAAAGCACUGUGAAGCGGUAUAUAAGUGUAAGGGCUAUUGCUACUGCUGACUAAGGACAGGAUAGGAUGAAAAACGAACAGCCUUUGCUUGAACCUUGGAAAAUCUUGACAUACAUGAGAUAUUGCCUCAUGCAGUGCUUCUCUACACAUCACUCCAAAGAUUGCCCAUCUCGGUUCCUUAGGAUGUUGAAGCAUGCCUCCUAACAUUCAGUAUGAUCCUAAUUCAUCUGGUCAUGAUGAGGUGCUACAUUUUCAUAUCUUCACCAGAAUCUUCACACCACACCAUACCCAUCAGUCGUCACCCAGGUUAAGAAGGACUGCAGUAAUUACUAUUCUUGGUUAGGGUGCUCAACAAUAAGACAAUGGGAAUCCCUGUUCCUGAGGCAGCCAGUGGCACAAGCAAAUGUCUGCAUUGUACAGCGAUCCAUUGGAUAGCCACAUGGAAUAUCAGAGGAAUGAGUCAAGAGAUUUUCUUCUGCAAGACCUUAAAGACCUGGCUCUACCAGUGGCCUGGGUACCAAAUGGGGGUGUACCACAAUGGAGAUGGCUGCUGGAUUGAUGGCAGACUCUAUCUUCUCCCCCACUCUUUAUUCGUCACCCAUCCAUCUUUUUGAUCAUCAUAUAUAGGGCUGUCCAUUCCAAGCCUACUUUAAAGACCAAGAACCAUGAGAAAAAAAUAAUCAUGAAGGUGGACUUCAAAAUGAGCAGAUACAUCCAUUUCCCUAUCAAAGUCUUGUAUAUUUUGGUGAGAAGUAUUGUUUUCUAAAUGUGUAGAGUAAUUUUUUUUAAAAAGUCAAGGUAGUGGCCACAAGGGUGUGGUCAAAGCUUCAUCACAUAAAAACAAGCAGGUCUUUA